CUUAGGCAGUGACAAGCACAGUCGUCCUAGCUGGUAACGGCUAGAGAUAAUUAUCGGGUGAAUUGCUGGAAACCCCUGAAAGCUUUUCUUGCCACAACGUAGUUGGAAACAGCAAGCGUGAUGGUUUAAAAAAAGAGAAGAUUGGGCAAUCAGCAGCCAAGCUCCUGUGAGGAAACUCUGGAGAAGGUUCAACGACUAGGAUAGACCAUCUAAGGGCUAAGCUAAAGAUGAUGAAAUCCAUAGGGGAAACAAUAUAUCAUCAGUAUUGUGGAUCCGAAGUGCCCGACCCCUUUUAAAAUAGAUAAGGGUGAAGAUAUAGUCUGGUCAUUUAUGAAAGUAAAUG
rnacentral:ncRNA from 2 species